UAGUUUUUGUACAUUACAGAAAUGGUUAUUUGGUGCUUUUGCAAAUUUGGUAGAUAAUUGUGUACAUGCUGUAAACCCAGCUCAGAAUAUUUUUAUAAAAUAUGAAUUAACACCUGAACAUGAUGGAAUGAUAUCUAUUCAAGAUGAUGGGGAAGGAUUAGAUUUUAAUGCUAUGAAUAGGAUAUUACGAAUGUAUGGAAAUUAUAAAAAUUAUGACAGUCAUUCUAUAUAUAAUAGUAAUAACAAUGGAAAUAUUAUGAAACAUUCAUUACCUAAUAAUGAUUUUGUUAAUAACACAAAAAUUGAUGAAUACGACGAAGAGAAGCGUCAGUAUAAUUAUGAGAGUGAUACUAAUAGAAAUGGUUCUGGAAAAAGUGGUUAUGGGUCUGCAAAAAAUAAAAAUAUUUUACAUCAACAUGAACAACAACAUGUUGGUAAUGCCACUUACGACUCUUCACAGAAAGGAAAACGCACUAACCUGAGUAACUAUAAUGAAAAAAGUAAACAAAGCGAGAACAAUGGAUUGUGUAAUAGUAAUAAUAACACUGGGGAUGUUGUGGGUGACCAAGUAAAGAAGGGUGAGGAAAAUGGAGAGGAAGAAGGAAAAGACAAUAAUAAUAAUAAUAAUAAUAAUAAUAAUAGUAAUAAUAACAACAAUAGUAAUAAUAACAACAAUAGUAAUAAUAACAGUAAUAGUAAUAAUAAUUAUAAUAAUAGUAAUAAUAAUAAUAACAAUAAUCAAUGUGAUAAUUCCGGAAACAACGAAAUUAGUUAUGAUACUAAUCAAAACGAUUGUAACGGUAAUAACAAACUCGACGGUAAUAGAAACACAGCUAAUGUUAGCACGCAUAGUAUAACUGCUUAUAAUAACAAUGUGCAUAAAACCGAUAAUACUCAGUUUAAUAAUAACAACACAGGUACGAAAAAAAUUACUGGAUGGAAUGAAAGCUAUUAUUAUAAAAAUUAUGAUCAGGAUUAUUUUUAUAAUGAAAAUGCAAACAAUAUAUUUGAUGUGAAAUAUGGAGUAGGUUUUAAAAUGGCAUAUGCCAGAAUAGCUUCAAGUUGUGCUAUCAUGUCCAGGACAGUUAAUACAAUUGGGAUAGGUUUAUUAUCAUUAGAAUUAAUGAAUCAUUGUGAUUCUAAGGAAUUAGCUACACCUUUAUGUAUGUGGAAAUUACCUAAUAAAGAAUUAAUAAACAGAAACAUCGCUAACAAAUCAGAACAUCGACACCAUCAAAAGUUAUUAAUGUCAUAUACUCCAUUUAAUAGCCCUAGUUUAUUAGCUGAACAAAUUAAUAUACUAGGGACGUAUAGUGGUACUAGAUUAUUAUUUUGGGAUUUUAGAGAUGACAUGGAUUUUAUUAUUUUUAACUCUUCAAAUAAUAAUAUUUAUCUGAGUAGUUCUCCGAUUACUAUGGAGGAGAUAAGAUGUUCUAACAAAAAAAAAGCGGCGAGUUCAACAUCAUUAUAUCAUAGUGGUGUAGUAAAAGGUGGAUAUAUUGGAGGAUAUAACAGUAAUAACAGACACCAUGGUCAAAACGUAAACCAAUAUCGAUUAGAGGAUAUUAAAACUAGUACUAGUAGUAACAAUGAUGCCAAAAGAAGAGUAAAUUUUGAAGAUGACAAAAAAAUUAAAAAGACUAAGCUAUACGUUGAUAAUACAGUAGUGAAAUGUGUUGAAGGGAUAAAAACGACUACAGAUACGACAAGAUCGACAAUAGAUACAGUGACAAAUAUAGAUGGUACUACUAUUAAUAUCAUGAGUAAUGAAUGUGAAAACAAUGGUGCUUAUGUAGCGAGUGAAGAUGAUAAAGAUGAUAAUGAUGACGUUAUAAAAAAAUCGAAACAAAAAAACAUGACUGAAAACGAUUUAGAGGAUAUAAAAAAAGAGCCUAAUAUGAGCAGCAAUAUACAUAAUAAAGAUAUUGGAAAACAUACAAAUAGGAAUGAUCAUAUAAGCGGUGGGGUUUGUAAUUCUAGUGUUGACAAAAAUGAGAUGAGCAUAAGCAAAAGUUCUACUGUAAGUGUAUGUGCUGUUGGUGAAAAUAGCACUGUGGAUUAUCAACAUGAAGAUGUAGAAACAAAUGCCAGUAACAGUAACAAUAACAACAAAAACAAUAUCGGAGGUAAUAGCAGUAGCCAAACACAUACUACAUUGUCUACAGCAUCAUCAGGACCAAAUUAUAAACAUCGAGUACUAAAGGAUGAUCAAUUCCAAUGCUAUAAUGAUACAUUGAAACAAUACAAUCAAUUUGAGUUUAAUUCACAUUUACAUCCAUCAAUAUCUAGAGAGAAAUAUAAAAUAAGUCCCAUAUUCCCUCUAUGGGAUGACCCCAAGGAAAGUAUUGACUAUUGUUUAUCUACAUAUUUAUAUUGGUUAUAUUUAAGAAGGAAUACGAAUAUUUUUUUACAAAAUACAUUAUUAAUACCUACUUGUAUGAGAAAGAAAGAUGAUAACAAUAAUAAUAACGAUACUAUGUAUAACAAUAAUUAUGUUAUUCAUCAGACCGAUCGUAAUACAUGCAGUAAUCCUAAUUUUGGAAAUAGUAGUACUACUACUACCAUCACUGGUACUAUUACUAAUAAUAAUUAUAAUAAUUAUAAUAAUAAUAAUAAUAAUAAUGAUAAUUAUAAUAAUAAUGAUAAUUAUAAUGAUGAUAAUAAUAAUAAAAAUAGUAACAAAGGUAAAAGGAAAAAGAGAUAUAAAAACAGUGCCAUUGCUAAGAAAUUAAAAAAGAAAAAUGAAAAUAUUAUUAAAAAUGACGACACCAUUCAAACUACCCCUCAACAAAUGAAUGAUCAUUAUAAUACAACUGUGAAGGAUACAACGACUACCAUUAAAGAUGAAAAGGUUGAAUCUUAUGCUGGGAAUAAUGAUGGCAAUGGUCAGGUGUUGAAUACGAUGGACGAUUCGAAUAACCUGAAUGAUGCGAACAAUCCGAAUGAUGCGAACAAUCCGAACAAUCCGAACAAUCCGAACAAUCCGAACAAUCCGAACAAUCCGAACGAACUUGUUAAUAAUACUGCAAAAAACAGUAAUGUCAAAGAAAAUAUGAACAAUGGUGAUGAUUUUGCAGAACAAAAUGGUAACAAUAAUGUAAGUAGCACAAUAGUCGAAACAGAUGGAACUGGCGUUAAUGUUAUUAAUGAUAAUGUCAAUGAUAUUAAGGAGGAAAAAGUAGAAAACGGGGAUGGUGAUAAAAAUAAAUCAGAAGCAAUGUAUACUAAAAAACUUGAGAAGGUAACACAGAAAGAGAAAGAAAAUGGAGACAAUCAAGCAAAUGAGCAAGAAGAGGAAGAAGAAGAGGAGGAAGAAGAAGAGGAGGAAGAAGAAGAAGAAGAAGAAGAGGGUGAAGACGAAGAUGAGGAAAAAGAAGGAGAAGAAGAAGGAGAAGAAAGAGAAGAGGAAGGAGAAGAAAGAAAAGAAGAAGGAGAAGAAGAAGAAGAAACAGAUGGAUGGACAAAGCUAGAAAAGAAAAAGUUACAAGAGGCAUUAGAGUUUGGUAUAUCACAAAAUACAAGGGCGGAUAAUAAUAGUAGUAAUCAUUAUAAUAAUGAUAGUAAUAGUCAUACUAGAAGUAGUAAUAGUAGUCGUAGUAAUAGCAGUAGUAGUAGUAGCAGUAGUCAUAGUAGUAGUAGUAGUCGUAGUAGUAGUAGUAGUAGUAGUCAUGGUAGUAGAAAUAGAAAUAAAAAUAGUAAUAAUAAUUAUAACGUAGAUAAAAAGGAGUAUGACCGAACAUUCGAUGAAGAAAACGAAGAGGAAAAGGUAGACGAUGUUGGUGAGGGUAAUAGUAACAAUAAUAAUGAAAAAGAAGGUAUAAAUAAAAAAGAUGGAGAUAAAGACAUUGUGGACUUAGAUAAAGAUACACAGUUUAAAAAUAAUAAUAAUUUUAGUCAGGAAGAUAAGCAUAAUGAUGGUGAUGAAAUUAUUAAUAUAAAUAGUAAGAAAAGUACAGGCACUUUUAAAGGAAAAGGAAAAGGAAAGGGAAAAGUGGAAGGUCGUUUUUACACCGAUAAUAGUGAAAUGAUAUCAUGCAAAUCGAAUGAAAGAGGUACAUAUAAUAUAAAUAAUAUUAUUGGAAAAGUAAAAAAAUUAAAAAAUGAAAAAGGAAAACGCAAGACGGUAACAAACUAUAAUAAUAACUUUUAUAAUAAUGUUAAUAGAAAAAGAUUAAGUUUGAUGGUACCUCAAAACAUUCGUAAUAAUCAUAUUAAUUAUUAUCAUAGUUUAAAAAAUGAUGAUAAUGAUAAAAAUAAAAAAGAAAAUUACGUUAAUUUAUAUAUGGAAAACUUAAAAAUAAAAGAUGAAUAUUAUAUUAAUAAUCCCAAUAAAUAUAGUUUAUAUAAUUUAUUAAGAAGGAAAUUAUAUAAAAUGGUAGAAUUUCAUUAUUUGUUUACACCUUCUGAUUAUGAGUAUGGUUCUUUUAUCAUGAUGGGUUUUUUAAAUGACAAUGAUAAUAGUAACAGUAGUAUGGAAAUAAACAGAGUAUGUGAAGCUGGUAUAUUAUUAUAUUAUAAAAAUAGAUUAAUUAAAAGAUUAGAUAGCCCUUUUAUUGAUUCUGCUUAUAAUCUCGCCUUAUCAAAAUACCCACCUACUCCUUCAUUAUUUGAGGGUAAUUUAUAUAAAUAUGCACUUACUGUUAUUGUUAAUGUACCUAACUGGUUAAAACCAUCUAUAAGUAAACAAGAAUUUAUACAUGAAAAUAAUUAUGCAUUUUUAGUUUUUAAAAAAAAAUUAAUUAAUCUUAUUAAAUAUUAUCUUCGUAUAUGUCAAAAUAAUAACAAAUUAAGAAACUGGAGAGAUAGUAGAGAUAAAAAGUUAAAAAAAUAUAUUGAAAGUACACAACAUAUGGCUAGAAAAAAUAUGAACGAGUCAGAUCAAGAAUAUGAAAAGGCAUAUAAAAUUGUAUAUAAUGAUAAACGAGACAAUGACACAAAGGCACAAUAUGGACAGGAAGAUGACGAUGUUGAUGGUGAUGAUGGUGAUGGUGAUGAUGGUGAUGAUGGUGAUGGUGAUGGUGAUGGUGAUGGUGAUGGUGAUGAUGGUGAUGAUGAUGAGGAUGAAGAUGAAGAAAAUAAUGAUGAACGAGAAGAAGAAGAAGAAGAAGAAGAAGAAGGAGGAGGGGGAAGAGGAGAAGGAGAUGAUCUAGAGUUAGAAGAAGAUAAUGAUGAUGAUGAUGAUGAUGAUGAAAGGGAGGAAGGAAGAGAGGAAAGACAAGAGGAAAGACAAGAGGAUGAUAUAUAUGAAGACGAGUUAGACGAUGAAUAUGAGGAGGAUGAGGAUGAUGAUGAUGAUGAUGAUGAAUAUGUUGUUGGAAGGGGAGGAGGAGUAGGAAUAGGAGGAGGACGUGUUGUGACUAGGGGAGAAGGAGGAAGAACUAGAGCAAUAAGAGCAAAUGAAGCAAAAUUAAAAGAAAAAAAUAAAACUAAUAAUAACAGCAAUCAUAACAGCAAUCAUAACAAUAGUUUUUCUCUUCGUAGAGGAGGAAGUAGUAGUAGUAAUGUACAUACAAAUGUAGUACCAGUAGUGGCGGAUGAACAUAUUAUAAGAGAAUCUGGUGUGGAAGAAACAGAAGAAGAAAAUGAAACUCUUGAAUAUGGUAGACAUGGUAGAGCUAGUAUACAUAAUAGACAUAGUAAAAUUAGUGAUGAAAUUGAAAAAAAUGCUCACAUAGAUGUAGAUAAAAAGGAAGAAGAUGUAGAAGAGGUAACAGAUGAUGAGAGGCAAAAAGAGAAAGAGGACGAUGUUGAGGAAGAUGAAGUUGAAGAAGAAAGCGAGGGUGAUUUGGGGAGGCAAGGUAAAAAACGAAAUAUCGAAACAAAUAAACACAAAGCACAAGUAGAAGCAGAAGGAGUACAGGAGGAAGACAUGGACAAUCCAAAUAAUUCUGACGGCUACGAUAGCAGUAGUAGUGCUAAAGUAAAAAAUGGACAAGAAUUAAAAAAUAAAACACCAAGGAAAUCAAAAACAAAGCAAUCUGAAACACAUGAGAAAAUAGAUGAAACAUAUGAACAUGUGAUAGAAGAACAACCUGAACAUGAUGGUGAUAAUGAUGGUGAUAAUGAUGGUGACGGUGACGGUGAUGUUGAUGGUGAUGGUGAUGUUGAUGGUGAUGGUGAUGGUGAUGGUGAUGGUGAUGGUGAUGGUGAUGNNNNNNNNNNUGAUGGUGAUGGUGAUGGUGAUGGUGAUGGUGAUGGUGAUGGUGAUGAUGAAGAGUUUAAAAAUGCAAAAGAAGAUGAGAAUGUACAAAAAGAAUAAACUGUGAUUAGAAAAGGAAUCGCACGCGACAAAGAUAUGUUUACUAACGUAUAGCUAUAUAUAUAUAUAGAUGUACACAAUUACAAUAGAUACUUAUUAGCAUAAAAAAAAAUGACGAAGUGGCAUGGUACUAAUGUAUAUAUUAUAUAGGAAAAAAAACAAAUACUUCG
ensembl:lncRNA